rnacentral:rRNA from 1 species
CACGUAGGGGGGCGAGCGUUUGUCCGGAUUUAUUGGGCGUAAAGAGCUCGUAGGCGGUUGGGUAAGUCGGGUGUGAAAACUCAGGCUCAACUCUGAGACGCCACUCGAUACUGCUCUGACUCGAGUCCGGUAGGGGAGCGUGGAAUUCCCGGUGUAGCGGUGAAAUGUGUAGAGAUCGGGAGGAACACCGGUGGCGAAGGCGGUUCUCUGGGAAUGACCUGACGCUGAGGAGCGAAAGUGUGGGGGAGCGAACAGG